rnacentral:rRNA from 1 species
GGCCCUAAAUCUUGAUGCUUACCUUACCAAAGCAUCCGCCCGAGAACUACGAGCACAAACGCUUAAAACUCUAAGGACUUGGCGGUGCCCCAAACCCACCUAGAGGAGCCUGUCCUAUAAUCGACAACCCACGAUACACCCGACCACUUCUUGCCAAAAACAGCCUACAUACCGCCGUCGUCAGCCCACCUUCACUGAAAGAACAAUAGUGAGCCUAAUCGCCCUCACCCCGCCAACAAGACAGGUCAAGGUAUAGCCCAUGAAGUGGAAGAGAUGGGCUACAUUUUCUACACUAGAAAACCCCUAUAAACGGAAGGGGGCAUGAAACUUGCCCCCCAAAGGCGGAUUUAGCAGUAAAGCAGGACAAUAAAGCCCUCUUUAAACAGGCUCUGAGGCAC